GCAGUAUAUUAACCAGAAACUGAAACACAGAGACAGGUAGAAGGCCAUAAGCUCAACUUCAACAGCAUUGCACAAAAUUUAUGAAUCAUUAGAUCCAGUUCAUCUGGUUCAUAUCACUCUAUCACAUAAGGGAUGUGUUUGAACACCAGAAGAGCUCUGGGACGUGUGGACAGACAUUCGCUGUAAUGAUGGACAGGCUGAAAAGCAUAACUUCUGCUGGACAUCGCUCUGGGAUUCAGGGAUGACCCAAACCAUCCCUACCCCUUCAUUCACUCAUAUCCAGCUGGGAUCAAACCAGCAACCUCUGAACCGUGAGGCAGCACUUUUACCAGUGAGCCACAGAUCUCUUGUUAGGCCUUGUGAAGGAACUUAUAUUUCACUGUUAACCUGUAAUUU